GGGGGCGACAGGCUUCGACAGGGGCUUGGAUGAUCUUUGGAUGCACGUCGGGCUUGCUUUCAAUAGCUCGUUAAAACAUUGAAAGAAACACAAAUGCCAACGAAGAAUUGGCUCUCGCUGCCUAAUUAAAUUUAGCAACAGCGAUGUCUUGCGGGAAGUCUGCCUGAAGCGACCCGUCAAGGCAUAACUCAGUUCAGGCUCGGAUGCUGCCUAAGCCCGCGGCGGUAUCUCAAAUACAAGCCGGGCUAGCUGCCGACAAGGUCUUGCCGGUUCAUCUGCUUGUCGGGCGGCGAAAUAUUUGAGUGAAUCGGCUAAACGUGUAGAUUCCUCUGAUCGUAGGCCUUUGGAUGUGGGUUCGAUUCCCACCGCCUCCACCA
rnacentral:tmRNA from 1 species